rnacentral:tRNA from 1 species
GUUUAGAUAAGAUAAAUUAAAUCAUGCUUCUUUAGGAGAAGUAAAUCCUUAUAUUAAGAGGUCUAAACU